UAUAGCAAUAGCUACUUGCAUCAUAUGAUGCAAGAUCGACUAUGUCGAAUAAAAUUCUAGGUAGAAUUAUGAUAAUGACAUUGUCUGCCUAUGUGUCUUGACCAAAUUACGUGCCAGCAGUCGCGGUAAUACGUAGAAGACUAGUGUUAUUCAUGUUUAAUCGGUUUAAAGGGUACCUAGACGGUAAAUCAAGCUUUCCAAGAAAUAAAGUUAAAGGACUAAUUUACUAGAGUUACUUAUGAGGGGGUAUUAAAGUACUGCUGGUGUAGAGAUGAAAUUCUGUCAUACCUCUUUUCAAAAGAAAAACGAUGGCACAGGUAUAGGCGAAGGCAUCCCCUUAUGUGAUAACUGACGUUGAGGGACGAAGGCUUUGUAUAGCGAACAGGAUUAGAUACCCCAGUAGUCUAAGCAGAAAAUGAUGAAUGUCAUAGAUUAGAUGUAAGUUUAUUCUAUAAAUGAAAGUGUAAGCAUUCCACCUCAUGAGUAAUUUGGCAACAUUGGAACUGAAAUCAUUAGACCGUUUCUGAAACCAGUAGUGAAGUAUGUUGUUUAAUUUGAUGAUCCGCAAAAAACCUUACCACAAUUUGAAUAUUUAUAUUUUUUUAUUGUU
rnacentral:rRNA from 1 species